GAUGAACGCUAGCGACAGGCCUAACACAUGCAAGUCGAGGGGCAGCACAUGAGUAGCAAUACGAUGGUGGCGACCGGCGCACGGGUGAGUAACACGUAUGCAACCUGCCUGUAAGAGGGGAAUAACCCGGAGAAAUUCGGACUAAUACCGCAUAAUACCACGAGACUGCAUGGUUUUGUGGUUAAACAUUUAUGGCUUACAGAUGGGCAUGCGUAUGAUUAGAUAGUUGGUAGGGUAACGGCCUACCAAGUCUACGAUCAUUAGGGGUUCUGAGAGGAAGGUCCCCCACACCGGUACUGAGACACGGACCAGACUCCUACGGGAGGCAGCAGUGAGGAAUAUUGGUCAAUGGGCGAGAGCCUGAACCAGCCAAGUCGCGUGAAGGAAGAAGGUUCUAUGGAUUGUAAACUUCUUUUGCAGGGGAAUAAAGGACGGUACGUGUACUGUUUUGUAUGUACCUUGCGAAUAAGGAUCGGCUAACUCCGUG
rnacentral:rRNA from 1 species